UACGGAGGGUGCGAGCGUUAAUCGGAAUAACUGGGCGUAAAGGGCACGCAGGCGGGCUGAUAAGUGAGAUGUGAAAUCCCCGGGCUUAACCUAGGAAUAGCAUUUAAGACUGGGAGUCUAGAGUACUUUAGGGAGGGGUAGAAUUCCACGUGUAGCGGUGAAAUGCGUAGAGAUGUGGAGGAAUACCGAUGGCGAAGGCAGCCCCUUGGAAAUGUACUGACGCUCAUGUGCGAAAGCGUGGGGAGCAAACAGG
rnacentral:rRNA from 1 species